rnacentral:rRNA from 1 species
CACGGGGGGAGCAAGCGUUGUUCGGAAUCACUGGGCGUAAAGGGCGCGUAGGCGGCCUUCUAAGUCGAACGUGAAAUCCCCGGGCUCAACCCGGGAACUGCGUCUGAUACUGGAUGGCUUGAGUUUGGGAGAGGGAUGCGGAAUUCCAGGUGUAGCGGUGAAAUGCGUAGAUAUCUGGAGGAACAUCAGUGGCGAAGGCGACACCCUGGACUCAUACUGACACUGAGGUGCGAAAGCGUGGGGAGCAAACAGG